rnacentral:sRNA from 1 species
AAGGGCUAACCAUUUCACCUUUCCCCCCCAGGACCCUCAGGGGCGGCACGUAAAAACUUAUGAGGUGUCUCUCCGAGAAAAGGAAUUCAAUAAGGGCCCUUGGAAACAGGAAAAUGUCGAAGCUGAAGCUUCCAUGGUGAUCGCAGUCCCAGAGCCCUUUGGGGGGGCCAUCAUCAUUGGACAGGAGUCAAUCACCUAUCACAAUGGUGACAAAUACCUGGCUAUUGCCCCUCCUAUCAUCAAGCAAAGCACGAUUGUGUGCCACAAUCGAGUGGACCCUAAUGGCUCAAGAUACCUGCUGGGAGACAUGGAAGGCCGGCUCUUCAUGCUGCUUUUGGAGAAGGAGGAACAGAUGGAUGGCACCGUCACUCUCAAGGAUCUCCGUGUAGAACUCCUUGGAGAGACCUCUAUUGCUGAGUGCUUGACAUACCUUGAUAAUGGUGUUGUGUUUGUCGGGUCUCGCUUGGGUGACUCCCAGCUUGUGAAGCUCAACGUUGACAGUAAUGAACAAGGCUCCUAUGUAGUGGCCAUGGAAACCUUUACCAACUUAGGACCCAUUGUGGAUAUGUGCGUGGUGGACCUGGAGAGGCAGGGGCAGGGGCAGCUGGUCACUUGCUCUGGGGCUUUCAAGGAAGGUUCCUUGCGGAUCAUCCGGAAUGGAAUUGGAAUCCACGAGCAUGCCAGCAUUGACUUACCAGGCAUCAAAGGAUUAUGGCCACUGCGGUCUGACCCUAAUCGUGAGACUGAUGACACUUUGGUCCUCUCUUUUGUGGGCCAGACAAGAGUUCUCAUGUUAAAUGGAGAGGAGGUAGAAGAAACCGAACUGAUGGGUUUCGUGGAUGAUCAGCAGACUUUCUUCUGUGGCAACGUGGCUCAUCAGCAGCUUAUCCAGGUGA